rnacentral:rRNA from 1 species
AUGUUCCGGGCGGCCUCCCAAGCCGGGAUCCUCAAGCCCAUUAGGGCGCGGACGGCCUCCUGCAGGGUUUCUCUCUAUGCAGACGAUGCUGGCAUUUUCGCCAACCCGGUCAAAGACGAGAUCGACGCAAUCGCUAAGAUCCUUGCCUGUUUUGGGGAUGCAUCGGGACUCAUCACAAACGUCAGCAAAACUGAGGUGUUCCCCAUUCGCUGCCAGGACAUCGAUCUCCAGGCAAUCCUCUCGGGCUUCCCGGCCAAGCUGGCCUCGUUCCCUGGUCGAUACCUUGGUCUCCCUCUGCAUACCAGGCGGCUCAGAAGGGUUGACCUCCAACCUCUUCUUGACAAGGCCAUGGGCAGGUUGCCAGGCUGGAAGGGAAAGAACCUGGCGCGACCGGGCAGGAUCUCCCUCGCAAAAUCCAUGCUAUGCGCCAUCGCAAAUCAUCACCUCAUAGCUUUUGCGCUUCCAGCUUGGGCAAUCCAGAAGCUCGGUAAGAUCACUCUAACUUCAUCUGGUGUGGGGAAGACGCAGAAAACACAUCUGGCGGACAUUCUCUGGUCAACUGGAAGACUGUUUGCCGGCCUAAGCCCAUAG